rnacentral:rRNA from 1 species
AACGAACGCUGGCGGCGUGGAUAAGACAUGCAAGUCGAACGAGACUUUUCGUUGUAGCAAUACGAUGGAAAGUUUAGUGGCGAACGGGUGCUUAACACGUGGGCAACCUGCCAGGAAGUGGGGGAUAGCUCGCCGAAAGGCGAAUUAAUACCGCAUGUGAUUAGAAAGGACAUCCUUUCGAAAUUAAAGUCGAGGCAACCUGACGCUUCUUGUGGGGCCCGCGGCCUAUCAGCAAGUUGGGGAGGUAAUGGCUAACCAAGGCUUUGACGGGUAGCUGGUCUGAGAGGACGACCAGCCACACUGGGACUGAGACACGGCCCAGACACCUACGGGUGGUAGCAGUCGAGAAUUUUUGACAAUGGGGGAAACCCUGAUCGAGCGACGCCGCGUGGAGGAUGAAGGUCUUCGGAUUGUAAACUCCUGUCAUUGGGGAACAAGGUGCAUACGUUAACUGCGUGUGCAUUGAUAGUACCCGAAGAGGAAGAGACGGCUAACUCUGUGCCAGCAGCCGCCGUAACAC